AAAAUAAAAAAUUAAUUAAAAAAAAAUAGUUUAGUGAAACCUAUUUUAUAACCAUAUAUCCUUAUAAUUUUGUAAUUUAACAUUGUUUAUACUUUAGGAAUGACGACAUCCGUUAGAGAAUGAAUGAAGCACAUAUUGGAAAUAAAAUGGAAGAGAGUCGAAUAAGUAGUGUGGUCAUCUCAUCUCCAACGUAGAGAAUCAAAUGCCUAGUAUAAAAGCGUGAUAAGUUAGUAAGGAAAGAGUGAGGGAAGGAGGAUGCCUAAGAUGACAUAAAGAGAAGUGGAAUCAAAGGAUUUACAAG
rnacentral:misc_RNA from 1 species